ACUCCCAGCAGAGGGUGGCCGCCGAGAGCCGCCGCUACCAGCGCGACGAAGACCCGGGUAGCUCCCGCUGCGCCCAGAGCCAUCAUCUCAGAAGGACUCAAGAGGGAGAAAGAAAGAGAAAAUGACCGUCACUUUGCAAGCCUGGGUCCCCACCAAACCGUGCCGGUUCGGCUGCACAGUCAGGGUCCGGGAGCCCCCUGCGGUCCCAGAGUCCUCACUGCAGGGAGCACAGAGCUCUGCGCCGCCACCGCCACCGCGGCUGCCUUUAUACCGCGGGCCCGGAGCAUUCCAGCCCCUUGGGAGGGAGACAACAAAGCCGGGAUGGGAUUUCAAAGAGCUGGGAGGGGCUGGGAGGGGGUGUGUUUGUGUACAUGAAGGGGGGCCUUUGACACUCUUCACCCCGCCCCUCCCUUACUUGGUCGCUCGGCUGGCCCGAUUCACCUUCGGGGUGAAGGCUACCAGCGAGCAUUAUAGCAGACGACUUUAAUAUAUGCAGGCGGCAGCAGGAACUCUGGGAACUUGGGUGCCCUUGCCUGGCAGUAAGGGUUGAACUAUCUGGAUCUGAAAUACUUUUCAGAGCCGAGGGGUGAUAGGCUCUGCAAAAGCACUUUUUGCCCCUCUCCCUUAUGCCAAUACUCGCUGACUGUGCACACAAGUCAUAUUCAGUAUUAAAUACAAACCGGUCUGUAAUUCAGUGGCUCUAGCAAGACGCCUCUGAAAGGGCCAGGUGGCGGGUGCAAGUUGCUCAUUAACCCUUUAGAGUCGCAGUUUGCAGAUCUGAGUUAGAUCCCCGGCUUUAAGGUCCUUCAGUUGCCCUCCUCCCCCACCUCCCCCCGCCACUGCGAGAAAAAUGUGCAAAGAGAAGGAAAUUUGCACAUCAAACGAGGGGCAAUCGCGGCAGUAGAUGAACUUGAUUAGGCAGACGCGUGAGAUCAAAGUGGCCGGGACCAAAGCGGACAGGGUCCAACGUGCCAGGUCAGUCGCCUUUCCCCGGUUCUGCCUUCUCAGUGGUGGGCUAAUGUGGGGAAAUAAGAAACCCUUAGGGCUUAGCGCCUGACUUCCUCAUUAGUAUAUCACAUCGCAACGCUUCCGAAUGCAGGGUUUGCUCCCAAGUCAUACCUUGCACGGGACCACGCAAUACCCCUUCUAGGGAGAUAAGAAACUACCUUGAGGAGAAGAAGAGCUGAAAGUGAAUUUGACGUCAUUGAAAUUGCACUGCCAAGAGAAGGCCUUUUGUACUCAGGUUAAAUAAGAACAUCCUGCAAGGAGUCUGUUCUUUUAUGCAGCCUAAAGAUCAAGUAAUAAUCAUUGACAUUGAUACUGAGCAUGUCGAUUUUGAAGAGACUGGCAUGUCCCCAAUGGACUGGAUGAUGCCUGCUCAUAUUGGAGAGGACAAACCUUCUUUACUCAAUCUAAUAAUUCAAGUGCAAAUCUUUUCUGGAAACACCCUUAGAGACACAACCAAGAAUACUGUUUUACCAGCGAUUGAUAAAUCACCUUGCAGAGGCUAGGGCAGGCCUCAUCUUUCUUUUGUAUGUGACAGUUGUAUCAGUCGGAAUGGGCGAAAUCCUGUUGAAAUAGACAAAGCCAAAAUCUUAGUGAUUCGAAACAACAAUAUAUUCCACUGUAAAGCCUUUGGGAGUUGGUGAGGGGCUCCACUCCUCCUCAUCACUGUCCUUACUCUGCUUCUGAAGCUCACAGCGCAGCCACUGUUGAGGAAAUGCUGAUCACAACAUCACAAGGAAAGGAGAAUGUAAUGAAGCAAGAACUGGCUCUUAAGGCUUCUGUUUGCAGCAGUGACAAGGCUCACCUUUCAAUGGCCAAAGCAAGUCAAAAGGCCAAACCUGACUUACAUGGCACAGAAAAGUACCCCAGAGAGGGAAAUCAGACAUUGACGAACUGUGGCCAAAAUCCAGCUGAGCCAGCAGCUCAGAUCACCAGUAUCAUUUCUCCCCAGAGGACUAAGAGUCCUCCUGCAAAUAAACUCCUAGUAUCCUGCCCUGAUGUACCAGACACCAGAG